GAAGAAACUAGAGCAUCACUCGAAGAGAGAUGACCCACUUCCACUGCUCAGUCUGAACGUCUGUCUGAGCUCACUCGGAUGUUGUCAGCUCAACACGGAUAUUUCAGUUUGUUUGUGUGUCGAUUGUCGAGACACAAAAACCCAAAAGCCGACUUCCUUGUUAGUGGGAUUUAUUUCUCACCUUUUUCUUAACUUUUGUCCUUGUUCUGCACCUGUGCAUGUGUGUGGUGUGAGUUGGUGUUUCACUGCAAAUGUGAGCAUUUGGAAAAAGCAGACAUCUGUGGACCUCAGAAUUUGUCAAUAUAAAACAAAAAAUAUUAAGUUAUUGUUAUAACCUUUCUAAACGUAUUACAUCGUCUUGCGUUUGCUUUAUAUGUUGUAUUGGAAAUAAUGUUCAAUACACAUUUGUUUUCUUUAAUCUCCUAAUCUAGCAUUAAAACAUUUGUACCAUAACAUAAAAUAAUACACUUUGCAGGAUGAUGUGACGGCAAAGUUUAAAAUAUAGUGGCCAUAGUACAUUCUGGGACCUAAAAAGACAAAUGUUCUUGUCUGUUGCUGUGACCCAGUUUUGUCAAUAAUCUGAUUAAAUGUUAAUGUAAUUUCAUAUUGAUUCAUUGUAUCUUAUUAUAUUCAUAUAGUGGGCAUUUCUGUCUUUAAAUGGCUGUAACCGGACUCAUAUUGUUAUUUGGCAUCAGUCUGCCCUAACCAUUAUGAAUGAAUACACAGCUCAGUGCACAGCUGAGUGGAACACAUAUUCAAUUCCAAGAAGUUUCAGCUUGUUACAAAAGAAAAUAGAAUUACGACUAUUACAAAUCCCUGCCAGCACAUCAGCCUGCUGCCAAAUAGUUGUUAUUUUGAUACAUGGCAUUGUGUUGUGUUUUUCCCUCUAGUGAGUAGUGUCAUGGGUGCUGCAGCUUAACAAAAGCAUGCUGCUCUUUCUUUUCUAUGGUCAAAAAAUCAUAAUGGAAAAUCUAUUCCACUUGGCUACAGAUACAUUUUGCACAUUGCAUGCAGCUGCUGAAAAAGAAACAAAGUAUGUGAAUUCCUUGUUUCUUCAUGUUAGGCUACUACCAGAGCCUGGUGCCUGUGAGUGUGUGUGAAUGUUGCAGGUCCUGCGAUGGGGUGGAGCUGAAGAGGCCAAUCAGCGUGAUCGGGGACACCUGGCCGGAGUCACAGCCCCGUCAUGUCUCUCUCCAAGCCUGCUGCGGAGGGACUCACCGUGAUCCUUUGCCCUCGUCCACCCUCUGCUGUUUUUGGUGUUGCCGAAUAAAGUGCUGUUAGAAAUUAAAAUCAAUGUUUGAUAGCAUAAAGUAGCUUAAACUUACCGUCAGUUUAAAUGCUAUUUUAUUCUGGAAAAAAACGGAAGUUCUCAAUCCCAAGCUUUUAUUCUAUCCUUCAUCUCCGGUUAGCAUUUAGCAUGUGGCUAAUAUAUCAUUUCCUAUAGAUGUGAAUUUAGCAGCGAAAUGUACGGUGGCCGGCAGGUGCAAACGCGGAACAACGGCCAAAAUAUAUUUGACACAUAUGUAUUAAAAAAAACAGGAAGAGGAUCGACAUCCUUUUGUAAAUAUGACUGUCAUGCAUAUAUUAUGUAUUUGAAAAUAAUUAUUCAACUGUCUUCUCACUGCAGCAACUACACAAAUGUGAAUGCACUUCUCAUUAUUGAUAGCCAGUCUGAGCCAGAAGACAAAAUGGAGCAAAGCACAGAAUACCUGACUGCGUAGGACAUUGUUGCAGAACUCUCUGCAAAAAGAACAAAUACAUCUUGCAGCAGGUUCAAUAUGAAUAGAGCCAGUGUAUGGGAUGGAGCAAUCCGCGGCUUCAAAGGUGCCUCAUUCGAUCCCUCUCAUGAAAGGUCAG